UUAUAUGGAGUUGGAAUGCAAAAUUAGUGUAAGGUACCAGACUUCUAAAAUUAUGAAGUUACGGUUUAUAUUGGUUUGGAGAGCCAGUUGAAUGGUUCCGGUGAAGUUCGGGAGCAUUCGGGCGUUUCGGUGUGCGUAGGCGCGGAAACGGGACCCGAAAGGCUAUGUUGGGCCGUGAAUUAAAUUCAGCAUUAGCGUGGAUGAAAAGAUGGUUUAAACAUGCUCGAAAACAUGUUUGGAGGGUCUCGGUUCGAUUUGAAAAAAAUCGGAGGCCAAACGAGCGAAAACGGACCCCGAAAGCUGAAAAAGCUGAAAAUUUGGCUAAGUCUGGA
rnacentral:lncRNA from 1 species